rnacentral:rRNA from 1 species
GACGAACGCUGGCGGCGUGCUUAACACAUGCAAGUCGAACGGAAAGGCCCUGCUUGCAGGGUACUCGAGUGGCGAACGGGUGAGUAACACGUGGGUGCUCUGCCCUGCACUUCGGGAUAAGCUUGGGAAACUGGGUCUAAUACCGGAUAGGAGCCAUCUUUAGUGUGGUGGUUGGAAAGAUUUUUCGGUGUAGGAUGAGCUGGCGGCCUAUCAGCUUGUUGGUGGGGUAAUGGCCUACCAAGGCGGCGACGGGUAGCCGGCCUGAGAGGGUGUACGGCCACAUUGGGACUGAGAUACGGCCCAGACUCCUACGGGAGGCAGCAGUGGGGAAUAUUGCACAAUGGGCGCAAGCCUGAUGCAGCGACGCCGCGUGGGGGAUGAAGGCCUUCGGGUUGUAAACUCCUUUCGCUAGGGACGAAGCUUGUUGUGACGGUACCUAGAUAAGAAGCACCGGCUAACUACGUG